GUGGGGAAUUUUCUGCAAUAAGCGCAAGCUUGACAGAGCGUCAUCACGUGAAGGAGGAAAGCCUAUAAAGGUUGUAAACUUCUUUUGCUUAAAUAUAAUACUGACGUUUAAGUAUAAAAAGUAUCGGCUAACUCCGUGCCAGCAGCCGCGGUAAUACGGGGGAUACGAGCGUUAUCCAAAAUAACUGGGCGUAAAGUGUAUGUAGGUGGAUUAGUAUGUUCUUACUUAAAGACUAUUUGGUAAAUUUAGGAAAAGUAAGAAAACUAUUAAUCUUGAGUUCGAUAGGGGUAAGAGGAAUUUUUUGAGAAGCAGUGAAAUGCGAAGAUACAAAAAAGAAGAUCAACAGCGAAAGCAUCUUACUGGGUCGAUACUGACACUGAGAUACGAAAGUUAAGGGAGCAAAUGGGAUUAGAAACCCUAGUAGUCC
rnacentral:rRNA from 1 species